CCCCCAGCUCGUAAGCUUCGAGUUCGAAUCAUGCGGGCGAGUGAUGGUGUUAAUCGGAAUUUGCGGUUAAAACUGCUUUUUCCCGAAAGAUUUCUCCUGAUUAUUUUAAUGCGGAAAAAGUUAUUUCAACUCUUGAUUUCCUAUAAGUAGUGACCUUUCUUCUUCAUUCUUUCCACAUUCUCUCAAUUUUACAAGUCCCCUUUGUGUUUUCUCUCAAAAACUUUUCUCCACCAAGAUGUCUUCUUCCAGCAAUGUCUAGAAGAAUGGUGAUGUCGAGAUGAGCGACGCCGCCGGUGCAAGUCUGUCGGUUCUUCCUGCCGCCGGGGAGGUUCAAAUCGAGGCCCCAACUUCCGAGUCCCUC
rnacentral:lncRNA from 1 species